UCCCACGAGUCUCAGUGGUAGAGCGUCCGACGGGUGUGCGGAAGGUCAUAGGUUCGACUCCUGUUGGGGGAA
rnacentral:tRNA from 1 species